rnacentral:rRNA from 1 species
AGUGAACGCUGGCGGCGUGCUUAACACAUGCAAGUCGAACGAGAACGGAAUAUAGCUUGCUAUAUUUGUCAGCUAAGUGGCGCAUGGGUGAGUAAUGUAUAGAUAACCUGCCCUUAAGAAAGGAAUAACAGUUGGAAACGACUGCUAAUGCCCUAUAUGCCUUUACUACAUAAGUAUGCAAGGGAAACGCUUUAGUGCUUAAGGAUGGGUCUGUAUGGUAUCAGCUUGUUGGUGAGGUAAUGGCUCACCAAGGCUAUGACGCCUAACUGGUUUGAGAGGAUGAUCAGUCACACUGGAACUGAGACACGGUCCAGACUCCUACGGGAGGCAGCAGUGGGGAAUAUUGCACAAUGGACGAAAGUCUGAUGCAGCAACGCCGCGUGGAGGAUGACACAUUUCGGUGCGUAAACUCCUUUUAUAUAGGAAGAUAAUGACGGUACUAUAUGAAUAAGCACCGGCUAACUCCGUGCCAGCCGCCGCGGUAA